CAACGGUGAGAUCUUGACCUGAGCUGAAAUCAAGAGUUUGAUGUUUAGCAAACUGAGCUACCCAGGUGCCCAAGCUCAGUUGACUUUGUUGAUAAAAGAUGCUGCUGGUAGGCACUGUAAAACAAAUGAAAGAAAAGAAAAAAAAAUUUGCUUAUGUAAUGCAAUAUAAAUUUGCCAAGAAUGGUUUUGUAAGAAACUUUAUUAGCUUGUGACUACUUCAUCCACUUGCCAUGCUAACCAAUAUUUUACCUUCCUCUCUGGAAAGCACCCUUACUGGUGCUCACAGCUUUUGCUGAAUGUUCAUGGACAUCAGGCUCUUCUCCAGGCUAUCAAGCUCUUACCAGUUGAGUGACCCCCGUUCCACAGUCUCCUGGGUCUGUGUGUCUUGUUCAUGAGUGUCCCAGUGGGAAACUCCAGAGUGUUUGCCUGCCUUCUGCACACAAUAUGGCAGGGUGCAGGAUUCUGUGAGCCAACUCAAGGCCCUUCCCUCAGCCUUCGCUGUUACUCUCUCACCAAAGUCGAUGUGGGGCUUUGCUAAGGAAUGUAUUCUCCCUGACGGGUUUUGUGGACAGAGACUAUCAGCUCUUGAAUCAUCCCAUGACCUGUUUGAUAUCUUUCCACUUCAGCCCAGGAACACUGACCCUAAGAGAAACAAAACAAAGGAUCAUCGGGAAGAAGAGAGAGAGAGAGAGAGAAAGCAAGAAACAGACUCUCGACUGUAGAGAAAACACUGAUGGUACCCAGAGGGGAGUGUAUGGACCCUGGCUUUUGCUUUUCUAAAUACCACUGACCCAAGGCUGUGUGUAGAGGAGAAUUUCCCAAAGAUUUGGAACACACAUGUGGGUGCAGCAGCGUGGAGCCCUUCACAGUGAAUGCUGGUUGGAUCAGAGAUGUAAUGAGGGGAACUGGAGCAGCCACUUCAGACCAUGAGGCAGAAACCCCAUCAUGACUGGGCAACAGGAUACAAGAAGCUUGAGUCUUUGACACUAAAACUGCUUCUCUGUUUUGGAUUAUUUUCACACAUACUGUUAAAUGAGACAAAUAAGUUUCUAUCUAAGUGUACCUACUGUUCUUUUGUUUUCACAGAAGAUGCCAGUAGCACUCCCACAACCCCAUAUGUGACAACCCAGAAUCGCUCUGGACAUUGCCAAAUGUCCCUGAGGUACCAGGAGGAAUCAUCCCCCAUUGAGAAGUACCGAUUCAGAGAGUGAGUUUUCUCUCAAGUUUUAUUUUGGUUCAUAUAGCCAGACUAGGGUUGGUGUCUGGACAAUGUUGUCUUUUCCUGGUGCCCCUUACAUUGUACCCUCAAUCUGUCUUCAUUAUGUACCUUGCUAGGGUACAGGGGACAUGGUCUGCUGUACUCUGAAAGCUUACGGGUUGGUCUGAAGGGAUGGUCUGCCUGUACCGUGAUGAGCCUCUGCAGGGCAAACAAAGUUGGUCUUCCUGACAUUGACCUAUUCCUUGAUAAAGCUUUCAUGAAUUAUCAUUCUACCCAAGUUUCUGUCUUAGCACAGAUCUGCAGGAAAUCGAGGAGUGAAGAGGGACAGAAAACUGCAUCCUAUCAUAGCAGAGGGACAACUAUUACCAGGCACAAGAUGUGGCACACAACAAGAGGUUGCCAGGAUACCUCUAGGCGACAAAGGCUGGGGCUCCCCUUUCAAGCAGCCGCACACACUGUAAGAAUUCUUGCAAGAGGGAAUGUGAAUCCUGGAGCUAAUUCUGCCCAUUUCCACCAGCCCCCUCCCUGAGGGGCUCAGCUGGCCGUGCUAAAAGCCGCAGUAGAAAGGUGAAAACGAAUAUUACAAGAUCUUGGAAGCAUCUGAGGUUUAAUGAGGACUUUCCAGCAUUCCAGACUGCUGCCCUGCAAUGAAGCUCUGAGUCACGGUCUUUGGGGCUAAGGUAUUGGCAACAAUGUGGAACCCCAGGACAGCCAACCUGACUAACCUUCGCUGUAACCAGGAUCCCAAAAGGGGUCUGGCAUGAAAUCAGAGCAUAGAGAAAGACUUGCUUGUUAAUGGAAACAGGAAAGAAAAAAAGGGUUUCCAACAAAUUGCAACAGACUUUCCACCAUUCUAAAGAACCCACCUUCCUUAUCGACCAAGCCGUUCUAUCUAGUGACUCCCAUUCCAGCCUUUUGCCAGAAACAGAGCAUGUCAAUCCUGCUGGAAAAAUAAAGAUAGGACCUCUGACAAGACCUGGAACAGUGAUACUCUCAAAACGGUCCAGUAGGAGAAUUAUGUCAGAAAGUCCGCACAGCCCCCCUGUGAUACCAUCCCGCAGGCCUGGAUUCCGGGUGUGCUAUAUCUGUGGCCGAGAAUUUGGCUCCCAAUCAAUUGCCAUUCAUGAACCCCAGUGCUUGGAGAAGUGGCGUAUUGAAAACAGCAAGUUGCCCAAACACCUGCAGAGGCCAGAACCCUCCAAACCACAGCCUCUCAGGGGCAGUGGGUCCUACAAUCUUCAGGCCGUGAACGAAGCAGCGUUUCAAAGUUCCCAGGCUCAGCUGCUGCCCUGUGAAUCCUGUGGCCGCACAUUCUUGCCAGAUCAUCGUCUUGUUCACCAGAGGAGCUGCAAGCCAAAGGAUGAGGGGCCCAGAGCACGAAACCCCAACCGUUUUGAUGAUCCGACUGGUGCCAGGAAAGCUGCUGGUGGCAUCCCAGCCCGACCAAAGACUCUCAUCUGCUACAUUUGUGGUAGGGAAUUUGGCACUCUGUCCCUUCCUAUUCAUGAGCCCAAAUGCCUAGAAAAGUGGCAAAUAGAAAACGACCGGCUCCCCAGGGAGCUCCGCCGACCACUCCCACGGAAGCCUCAGCCCCUUCCAACUGGACAGUCCAACCAAGAGGAGCCAAGUCAAGCUCAGCUGGUGCCCUGUGAAAAUUGUGGCCGGACCUUUGCCCCAGACCGCCUUCUGGUACACCAGAGAAGCUGUAGGGUUCAACCAAGUGCACCAAAAAUUCAGAAUUUGACCUUAGGGAGGAAAGGUGGCCUGAAAGAGUCCACAAAUUCCAAGCAGCAAAGGAACAUGGCAGUGCCCACUGUGACUGAUAAGCUGGACUACUGAUGUCCAACCCCCCAUGUGCCAUUUCUUCAUCGCUUGGUGCCAACCAUGCCUGCAUAUCGGAGAACCACUCUAGGAUCCCAUGGCUCUCAGGUGUACAAAGCGCAACUGUAAGUGCUCCUUACGA